rnacentral:rRNA from 1 species
GACGAACGCUGGCGGCGUGCUUAACACAUGCCAGUCGAACGGAAAGGCCCUGCUUUUGUGGGGUGCUCGAGUGGCGAACGGGUGAGUAACACGUGAGUAACCUGCCCUUGACUUUGGGAUAACUUCAGGAAACUGGGGCUAAUACCGGAUAGGAGCUCCUGCUGCAUGGUGGGGGUUGGAAAGUUUCGGCGGUUGGGGAUGGACUCGCGGCUUAUCAGCUUGUUGGUGGGGUAGUGGCUUACCAAGGCUUUCACGGGUAGCCGGCCUGAGAGGGUGACCGGCCACAUUGGGACUGAGAUACGGCCCAGACUCCUACGGGAGGCAGCAGUGGGGAAUAUUGCACAAUGGGCGGAAGCCUGAUGCAGCAACGCCGCGUGCGGGAUGACGGCCUUCGGGUUGUAAACCGCUUUCGCCUGUGACGAAGCGUGAGUGACGGUAAUGGGUAAAGAAGCACCGGCUAACUACGUG